rnacentral:rRNA from 1 species
UACGUAGGGACCAAGCGUUGUUCGGAUUUACUGGGCGUAAAGGGCGCGUAGGCGGCUUAACAAGUCAGUUGUGAAAUCUCCGGGCUUAACUCGGAACGGCCAAGUGAAACUGUCAAGCUAGAGUGCAGAAGGGGCAAUCGGAAUUCUUGGUGUAGCGGUGAAAUGCGUAGAUAUCAAGAGGAACACCUGAGGUGAAGGCGGGUUGCUGGGCUGACACUGACGCUGAGGCGCGAAAGCCAGGGGAGCAAACGGG